GGACUACAAGGGUUUCUAAUCCCGUUUGCUCCCCUGGCUUUCGCGCCUCAGCGUCAGAAAGGGUCCAGCACGCCGCUUUCGCCACCGGCGUUCCUUCGGAUAUCUACGCAUUUCACCGCUCCACCCGAAGUUCCGCAUGCCCCUACCCCCCUCGAGACUGCCAGUAUCGGAGGCCGUCUUCCGGUUGAGCCGAAAGAUUUCACCACCGACUUGACAGCCCGCCUACGCGCCCUUUAAGCCCAGUGAAUCCGAACAACGUUCGCACGGUUCGUCUUACCGCGGCUGCUGGCAC
rnacentral:rRNA from 1 species